UACGAAGGGGGCUAGCGUUGUUCGGAAUCACUGGGCGUAAAGCGCACGUAGGCGGAUUUUUAAGUCAGGGGUGAAAUCCUGGAGCUCAACUCCAGAACUGCCUUUGAUACUGGCGACCUUGAGUCCGGGAGAGGUGAGUGGAACUGCGAGUGUAGAGGUGAAAUUCGUAGAUAUUCGCAAGAACACCAGUGGCGAAGGCGGCUCACUGGCCCGGUACUGACGCUGAGACGCGAAAGCGUGGGGAGCGAACAGG
rnacentral:rRNA from 1 species